rnacentral:rRNA from 1 species
UACGGAGGGUGCGAGCGUUGUCCGGAAUCACUGGGCGUAAAGGGCGCGUAGGCGGUCUGCUAAGCGUGCGGUGAAAGCCUGGGGCUCAACCCCAGGUCUGCCGUGCGAACUGGUGGACUUGAGCACUGUAGAGGCAGGUGGAAUUCCGGGUGUAGCGGUGGAAUGCGUAGAUAUCUGGAGGAACACCGGUGGCGAAGGCGGCAUCCUGGACCGACACUGACACUGAGGAGCGAAAGCCAGGGGGAGCAAACGGG